GAUGAACGCUGGCGGCGUGCCUAAUACAUGCAAGUCGAGCGAACAGACGAGGAGCUUGCUCCUCUGACGUUAGCGGCGGACGGGUGAGUAACACGUGGAUAACCUACCUAUAAGACUGGGAUAACUUCGGGAAACCGGAGCUAAUACCGGAUAAUAUAUUGAACCGCAUGGUGCAAUAGUGAAAGACGGUUUUGCUGUCACUUAUAGAGGGAUCCGCGCCGCAUUAGCGAGUUGGUACGGUAACGGCUUACCAAGGCAACGAUGCGUAGCCGACCUGAGGGGGUGAUCGGCCACCCUGGAACUGAGCCACGGUCCAGGCUCCUACGGGAGGCAGCAGUAGGGAAUCUUCCGCAAUGGGCGAGAGCCUGGCGGAGCGGCGCCGCGUGAGUGAUGACGGUCUUCCGAUCGUAAAACUCUGUUACUAGGGAAGAACAAAUGUGUAAGUAACUAUGCACGUCUUGACGGUACCUAAUCAGAAAGCCCCGGCUAACUACGUG
rnacentral:rRNA from 1 species